rnacentral:rRNA from 1 species
AUGCAAAGCCUCUUGGUGGAUGUCAAUCGCAUUCGUAACCUUGCCACCAAGAAUGCCUUUGUUGCUCAUGAGACUUGCCGGCGAUCAUGGAAGAGUUUGACGCUGCUUAGUGCUGAAGCAGAUCUUCAAGACGAUGGCUUCAAUGAAAGAUUCCAGUUUGACUCCACUCCUCCAUGGACUGCUGUCCUACGUCGCACUCCAUCUCUUGAAGACUCUGAAUAUUCUUCCUCUGCGGCAACGGUAAAUGCCAGAGUGAUCGAUGAUGAAGAUGAUGCUACUUCACCACCUCCUACUACUGCACGCAUCGACACUGCACAAGUUCGUUUGCACCGCCAACCAACAACGACAACCCUGCUACUUCACCUACUCAUGAGGACGAGUAGAUGCUCUAUGUCUUCAAACCUUUUUGGUCCUUACUGA